rnacentral:lncRNA from 1 species
UGAAUUUUACAAGACAUGUUUCUGACAUGAAUACAUAUUCCAUAGUUCAUUUUUCUCAGAGGUUCUAUUAUAGUAAGAUUCAGAGACUGCACUAGUGCUCUGUUUGCAUAAUCUGUUAACCAUUUUAUUUUUCCCUUGCACUUUUUGGUACAGAAUAUAGCUUGCUAUUUUAUCAUCAAGAACAUGUGAUCUGAUUGGGGCUUGGAGCUUUCUAAUUGAAAUAUCUAACUCCCUUUCAUUCAGGUUGACAUUAUUGGAGUUGGUUGUUAUUCUUCCAAGGACUUGUGGGCAUGGAAAUUUGAGGGCAUCGUGCUGGCUGCAGA